rnacentral:rRNA from 1 species
GAUGAACGCUGGCGGCGUGCCUAAUACAUGCAAGUCGAGCGAACAGACGAGGAGCUUGCUCCUCUGACGUUAGCGGCGGACGGGUGAGUAACACGUGGAUAACCUACCUAUAAGACUGGGAUAACUUCGGGAAACCGGAGCUAAUACCGGAUAAUAUAUUGAACCGCAUGGUUCAAUAGUGAAAGACGGUUUUGCUGUCACUUCUAGAUGGAUCCGCGCCGCAUUAGCUAGUUGGUAAGGUAACGGCUUACCAAGGCAACGAUGCGUAGCCGACCUGAGAGGGUGAUCGGCGACACUGGAAGGGAGACACGGUCCAGACUCCUACGGGAGGCAGCAGUAGGGAAUGUUCCGCAAUGGGCGAAAGCAUGACGGAGCAACGCCGCGUGAGUGAUGAAGGUCUUCGGAUCGUAAAACUCUGUUAUUAGGGAAGAACAAAUGUGUAAGUAACUAUGCACGUAUUGACGGUACCUAAUCAAAAAGCCACGGCUAACUACGUG